GAUGAACGCUGGCGGCGCGCCUAAUACAUGCAAGUCGAGCGAAUGGAUUAAGAGCUUGCUCUUAUGAAGUUAGCGGCGGACGGGUGAGUAACACGUGGGUAACCUGCCCAUAAGACUGGGAUAACUCCGGGAAACCGGGGCUAAUACCGGAUAAUAUUUUGAACUGCAUGGUUCAAAAUUGAAAGGCGGCUUCGGCUGUCACUGAUGGAUCGACCCGCGUCGCAUUAGCUAGUUGGUGAGGUAACGGCUCACCAAGGCAACGAUGCGUAGCCGACCUGAGAGGGUGAUCGGCCACACUGGGACUGAGACACGGCCCAGACUCCUACGGGAGGCAGCAGUAGGGAAUCUUCCGCAAUGGACGAAAGUCUGACGGAGCAACGCCGCGUGAGUGAUGAAGGCUUUCGGGUCGUAAAACUCUGUUGUUAGGGAAGAACAGGUGCUAGUUGAAUAAGCUGGCACCUUGACGGUACCUAACCAGAAAGCCACGGCUAACUACGUGCCAGCCGCCGCCGUAA
rnacentral:rRNA from 1 species